rnacentral:siRNA from 1 species
UGCAAAUGGAUACAUAGAUUUGC